rnacentral:lncRNA from 1 species
GAAUCAAGAUUUGGAAUUAAGCAAGAGAAUCCAUUCAAACUUAGGGAAAAUCUCAAAGGUUUAAUGUCAUGAACUUUCAACUGAAUAACCAUGUUCCAUACAACGUUAUUUAAAAGAGAUAGCUUUCUAGACUAAUUCCUAAGGAUUGGACCCUAAUAACCAAACAAACUUGACUCAAUAAUUGGCCCAUUAAACUCAAAGGUUUAACACAACAUUGGCCUUUUUAUUGAUUAAAAAAAUAAAUAAAGAGGUUAGUUUAAAGCCAAACAAUAAUUAAUUAAAACGGUAAAAUAGGAAAAAUCCUAAAAAUCACGAUACGAUCCGCAAAAUCUCCUUACUAGCAAACAACUACUCAGACGUGCACGCGUCUUAUCUGACACAAGUCUUCUAGUCACAAUGUUUUUGUGUUCAGUCACAAGAUGUACCAACGACUUAUAGUACAAAGUCUUCUACCCCCUCCUUGAACAAACACUUCAACUAAUUAUUCCCUCUGCAUCCAUAUCAUUCCCUUUCUCUUUAAGAAGAUUUGUCCUCAAAAUUUUGACCUUUUCUUGUUGAAAAUAAUUGUGAUCACCUUGCUCAAAUCCCUGCAAAGUAGCCAUAAAAGAAUGAAAUAGAGGAUAAAUUGAUGGGCUAGCAGAAAAUAUUGAGUCCUACGAUAAUGACCCAGUCAACAAACAAUUAGAUUUUUUUUCCGCAACAUUUGUUCUCCUUUAGCUUGCGUUCACUCUCUCUUUUUCUCCUUGCCAACUCCUUUUCAUAUUACCAUUUCAAAUAAAACUGGUCCUCAUACACUUGUUGGGGGGGGGGUAAGUGGAGUAAGUGUAAUUUUCCUAUCCUUAUAUUUGAAAGAACGGCUAUUAGAAAGUUUGCUAUAAUCAACUCUCUUGUCAAACUGCCAAGGUCUUCCAAGUAGAAUAUGGCUUGCUUGCAUAGGAACUAUGUUACACAAUAAAUCAUCCUCAUACUUCCCAAUGCUGACAGCCACUAGAACUUGUUUUGUAACUCGUAUCCCUGCAUCAUUGGUAAAUCAGUGUCUGAUAUAUGGGCUCGGAUGAUUAAUUGUUAGUAGUGCAAGCUUAUCCACCAAGAUUGUACUCGCAAAAGUUUGCACAACUCCCACCAUCAACAAUUAAGCUGCACACCUUAUCCCUAACACAACGUCUAGUAUAGAAGAUAUUAAUGCAUUGUCUCUGGUCUACUUCUGCCUUGACUUGCGCAUUUAAGUUCAAGUAGUCAUAAAGGAAAGUUUUCCAAGUGCACAUUCUUCAUCAUUAGACUGAUUUUCAAUCAAAGAAGGCGUUAUUUCAAACUCUUUCUUUUCUAUAGAUUCAAUUUGUCCAUUUAAUCGCCAUAACCCGUUUGUUUGGGCACUUGAGAGCUUUGUGACCACAUCCCUGACACUUAUAACAUUGGAUAUCCUGACUCCAAAUAAUAGAAACUGGAGUGUUGCUUGAGAUUUUAGGUGUUUCCACCUUAAGUUUUGAAGGUAUCAUCACUUGACACAUCCCUUGUUCUUGGGUUUAUAGCCACCCCUUCUCUUCAACUAUCUCUCAAUUUUGAUAGUCUUUUGCACCAUCUCCUCUAACUCCAUGUAGUGCUGCAAUUCAACUACAUCUGCGAUGUUUGGAUUCAACCCCUUCAAGAAUCUAGUCAUUGUAGCCUCUGGAUCCUCUAUCACGUCUACCCUCAUCCUCGCCUUUUCUAUUUUUUUUAUGGUAAUCUUCAAUAGUUAGAUCACCCUAUACCAAAUUUUGCAACUUUUGAUGGAGGUCUCUGUGGUAGUAAGUAGGGAUGAAUCACUUUCUCAUCAAAGCUUUGAGCUCCUGUCAAGUACUAAUAGAUCACUCACCCGUCCUUCUUCCACUGAUAGUUAGCUAGUCCCACCAAGUGAUUGCAUAGUAUGAAAACACCACCACAACCAACUUAACUUUCUGCAUCUUAAUGUAAUUAUGGCAAUUGAAAACAAGCUCCAUCUUACACUCCCAUUCUAGGUAAGUAUGGGGGUCAAAUUUCCUUUGAAGAGAAGGGAUCUUAAACUUCACUCCCUUUACUACGGGAUCAUUAUCUUGAUAGUUUCUCCUAGGUUAUAUUCUAAGCUCAACUUUGGAUUCUUCUUCUUUAGUCACAGAGUAUUCCUCCUCUAAAUUCCAACAUCUUGCUUUUCACGCUUAGGAGUGUGAUUCUCACGUUUGGAUAGCUGCUCCUGGGAAAUCUCAAUCCGAUCUAGGCGUUCAUGGAUGGAUUCCAUUUUGGUCCACAUUAAUCGCCUCAACUUUCCUUUCACAAUCUCCACGAUCAACUUUGAGUCAACUGGAUGGGAAUCUGAAUCUUCCUUGCUAGACAUGAUUUCCUGUAAGAUAGGUGAGAAAUAAUACCUCACACGCUCAACCUCACGUGUAUACCCUCAAGCACUCGUAUUUACACUCAUUUUUAUGGUUUUACAUUCAUUCAAUGCAUUGGCGUUUUGAAUUUACUCAAGAUAUGGUUCCCCAAUGAUUUAGUGAAUAUACUAACCAAUUAACACUUCAGUUAUGGCCUAGAAAGUGAAAGAAUAAAUCUGAAAAUUUGGACAGCAAUACAACAUGAAAAUUUCAAGAACUAAUGAUAGAGAUUUUCUAAAAAAGAAGGUGAUUUAAUGCUGAAAAUUUUAGACUUCAAUUUCCUAAUUAGAUUAGGAGUUAGAUGUCUAAAUAUUGCUGGAAAAUAAGCCCAUGUUUCCUAAUUCGAUUUGGAAACAAUCCAAUACAAGAAAUAUCAAUAUGAUUAGGAUUACCAAAGAAACAAAAGCAGUCACAAAGUUUGUAAGAUUCGACUAGGAUUGGGAUUCACACGAACAAAGCAUCAAAUAGAAAUUUUUUGUUUAUUGAUGAGUAGUAACUCUUGAUAAAUAGUGCGACGAACAGUAUGCAAGAACAAUAACGCUACAGCAAUCAUUACAGUACUCUUGUCUUUUUGAAUCAACAAGAAAAGGUAGCCACAAAAUUAACACAAUCUAAACAAUGAAGAACACAAGAAACAAUGAGAAACAGAUAAGAACAAUAUGAAUAGAAGAUUUAAAACCCUAAAAGCAGAUAAACUCUAAUUUAUGAUUUUUUUAAAAAAAAUGACUAAAAGGAAAAACAAUAAAUUAAAAGGGAUAUGACCUCACUUUGAGUCAAAUCUCUAAUAUCAACUGAUACGAAUUCCCCUAGGAUGAGAGGAAUCCGCAAUCCCAUAGGAAAACCCCAGUUCGUAAGGAGACAGGUUUGAACAAAAUUUGGAUGGAAUUUGGGUAGGCCGGCCACAAUUUGGGUGAAUACCAAAUUAAUACGACACUCAAUCCACUCAAGAACACGCUCAAAGUGAAUCAAGAUUUGGAAUUAAGCAAGAGAAUCCACUCAAGUUUAGGAGAAACCUCAAAUGCUCAAAGUCAUAAACUCUCAACUGAAUAACCAUGUUUCAUACAACGUUAUUUAAAAGAAAUAACUUUCUACACUAAUCCCUAUGGAUCGGACACUAAUAACCAAACAAGUUUGACUCUAUAAUUGGCCCAUUAAGCUUAAAGGCUUAACACAUAUUGGCAUUUUUAUUAAUUUAAAAAGUAAAUAAAUAAACAAUUUAGUUUAAAGUCAAACAAUAACUAAUUAAAAUAGAUAAAAUGGGA